GAUUAAGUUAUUAAGGGCGCACGGUGGAUGCCUUGGCACUAGAAGCCGAUGAAGGACGUUACUAACGACGAUAUGCUUUGGGGAGCUGUAAGUAAGCUUUGAUCC
rnacentral:rRNA from 2 species